GUGGGGAAUAUUGGACAAUGGGCGAAAGCCUGAUCCAGCCAUGCCGCGUGUGUGAAGAAGGUCUUCGGAUUGUAAAGCACUUUAAGUUGGGAGGAAGGGCAGUAAGUUAAUACCUUGCUGUUUUGACGUUACCGACAGAAUAAGCACCGGCUAACUUCGUGCCAGCAGCCGCGGUAAUACGAAGGGUGCAAGCGUUAAUCGGAAUUACUGGGCGUAAAGCGCGCGUAGGUGGUUUUGUAAGUUGGAGGUGAAAUCCCCGGGCUCAACCUGGGAACUGCAUACAAAACUGCAUGACUAGAGUACGGUAGAGGGUAGUGGAAUUUCCUGUGUAGCGGUGAAAUGCGUAGAUAUAGGAAGGAACACCAGUGGCGAAGGCGACUACCUGGACUGAUACUGACACUGAGGUGCGAAAGCGUGGGGAGCAAACAGGAUUAGAUACCCGGGUAGUCC
rnacentral:rRNA from 1 species